UACCAGUGGAGACUAGACUCUAAGAAAAGCCGUCUUGGGUGUGGACCAAUCAAAUUCAAGGACGGUACAUAACAUCAGAGUUGUCUUUAUUGUUUGCAUUUUGACUGCUUGUAUUGUGGUUAGUGCAAACAUGAUUGCUUGUAUAAAGGUAUCAGUUUUUGUGCCAGAUAAAAGGGUAAAAGAUCGCAAGCAUUCACUGUUCUAAUAAUUGCAUUUAUAUGGUGCUUGCUUAAUCGCCUCGGCAAUUCAGAGUUUUGUAUCGUAUCUCGUCUCAAACACUCGAAGAGCAUCCCCAAGUAGCAGCUGCCUCUGUGUGGCACAAGGUGGUGGCCCUGCACCGUCCUGCAUGUGGACAAGAGCCUGUCAGCAGGGGGCGAUGAUUGAUGUGUUAUCUCAGCUAUGUCAUUUUUAGGUAAUGUUUAGAACUUGCUAAAUUUUGACCGAGAUGCCAGCAUGCAAUGGCCUACUCGUUUUGAAUGACGCAAUAAUAUAUUGUACGUACACUGUUAAGCAGAUGGUGCAUACUUUUUAAAAAAUAGCUUGUUAAAUUAGGAGUGGAUUCCUGCAGUCACGAAGGCUUCAAAUCAAGAUUGAACUGCCUCUACGGGGAGGGUUUCCACACAUCUGUUAGAGCUGUUAACAUACUGUGAAACAAGAAGGCUCACAUGAUCGAGUCUCUGACCUUUCUGAAGAGAUGCCACGACAACAAGCAAGCAUCUUCCUCUGGAGAAACUCAUUGUCUUUGAAAUGGGGAGCACACUCUGAUAAUUCAGUUACAAGGCAUACCACUUAAAAGUUACAUAUAGGAGAUACAUUCUCUACAACACGAAUUAUAAUUCUGUAUUAUGCGUUGAUGUAGAUUUUGUCGAACGAGGACUAGAAAUGUUCCUUGCUGAUUAACGUCUGGAUGUCCGUAACCAUGGGUUGAAGCAAGCCCGACUGCUGUUGAGACGCUGUCCACCAAUAAGGGUCCACAGGUGGCUUGCACUGAAUCAAUGAUGCACUCCCAGAAGGCUGUGUUAGUUAUAGUUUGUGUAAAACAUUCCUUUGUUUCGUGGAGAGAUCGAUAAAUGAAAGAUGUCAUGUCUGCUGAUCUGCUUCAUAGCAGGGAGGUAAUUUUAAGAGUGCAUUUGAAAUGCAUUUUUUUACAGAUUUGUAUUCAGUGACAAGGCAGAGCACAUCUAGUAGAUACAUUCUCCACAACAACACUAACAAUUUUGCGUGACGUCUUAUAUGUUGGCAAACUAGGACAGGAAAUGGUCCUUGCUGAUUAACUUCUGGAUGUUCACAACCAUGGGUUGAAGCAAGCUGGACCCCCUGCGGCGACACGAAUAACCAUUUACGGCCUUGGGCCAGGAAAGUCAUGAAAAAAAUUGCACACGAACGACGCAUUCACGCAAGCACCCUAUGUUCCGUUUUAAAGUUUUAAAAUGAAACAACUGUGAAUAGUAUUGUUUCCAAUUAGAUAAUUGUAUUUCUUCAUUAAAAGCUUAUAAUUUUACAUC